AGAGUUGAUAUGGCUCAGAACGAACGCUGGCGGCGCGUCUAAGCAUGCAAGUCGGACGGCAAGGGUAGCAAUACCCCUAGAGUGGCGGACUGGUGAGUAACGCGUGGGUGACCUACCCUUGAGUUGGGGAUAGCCAUUGAAAUAGUGGAUGAUACCGAAUACGAUCGCGACACUUUGGUGAUGCGAUGAAAGGAGCUACGGCUCCGCUCGAGGAUGGGCCCGCGUCCCAUUAGCUAGUUGGUGAGGUAACGGCCCACCAAGGCGACGAUGGGUAUCCGGCCUGAGAGGGUGUACGGACACAUUGGGACUGAGAUACGGCCCAAACUCCUACGGGAGGCAGCAGCUAAGAAUAUUCCGCAAUGGACGAAAGUCUGACGGAGCGACGCCGCGUGGAUGAAGAAGGCCCGAAAGGUUGUAAAAUCCUUUUGCUGAUGAAGAAUAAGUGUGGUAGGGAAUGACCGCAUGAUGACAUUAGUCGGUGAAUAAGCCCCGGCUAACUACGUGCCAGCAGCCGC
rnacentral:rRNA from 1 species